rnacentral:rRNA from 1 species
UACGGGGGGAGCAAGCGUUGUUCGGAUUUACUGGGCGUAAAGGGCGCGUAGGCGGCCUUCUAAGUCAGACGUGAAAUCCCCCGGCUUAACCUGGGAACUGCGUCUGAUACUGGAGGGCUUGAGUGCGGGAGAGGGAUGUGGAAUUCCAGGUGUAGCGGUGAAAUGCGUAGAUAUCUGGAGGAACACCGGUGGCGAAGGCGGCAUCCUGGACCGACACUGACGCUGAGGCGCGAAAGCUAGGGUAGCAAACGGG